rnacentral:lncRNA from 1 species
GUCGUAGAACCAUUUCAGUGGCUCGUUAUGAGUACAAUUCACAGGGUGCCACUGCAGAACUUAAAGUUAUGAAGAAGCCAGAGCUGCAAAAUGUUAGCUGUGAACAUGCCCACUGUACUUGGGACAAGGACCGAAACACACUUGCUGGACUUCAAGAAUGUGACGAAUACAAGAUAGUAGCAUCUUUUAAUGGAUGUGAUGAUUUAAUAUUCCCAGUUUAUGUCCCCCCUGAAACCGAUAAGUGGAAACUGGAAGAACCACAAAAAAGUAACACCAGUGUGACUUUAUCUUGGAACAAUCGUGGAUAUGAUAAGCAUCGUUGCCAUUUAAGAUAUUUGUGUUACUGUGUUCCUUAUGGUAGGAGAUUUUAGAAGUUUUGAAUUUCUGUCUUUAUUGGCUGGAGAAUUAAAUGCACUUUAUUAGGGACCUUUGCUUUUGUGUCCUGUGUAUGAACGUAUUUAGAAUUAAGUAUAGAGAAGUGGAAAGGCAAACAAGUCUGGUAAAGGUAUGAGUCUCUCUCUCUCUCUCUCUCUCUCUCUCUCUCUCUCUCACACACACACACACACCUUAAUGAAAUAGUAAGAAGAAAUACCUCCUGCUGUCCAGAAGGAUCUUACUCUACACGAGUAAAAAAUCACAAGUUGUUGAUAGUUUCUCCAGGUUUGAUUACUGUAGAUAACAAGGGUGCAGUAUUUUGUGUGAAACAUUAGAUAUGGAUGGUGCCAAAGAACUGCUUGCUAGGGUGGACCUAAAACACAUCGCUACAGUCAAAUAGCAGCUCAUGUGGAGGUGAGGUCAGGGGAAAGAAGCAAGAAAGUGGGUAGCAUGUUCUUGAUUUUUUGUCACACGACCCUCCAUAUCUUCUUGGACUCAUCUCCCAAAACCCCCAAGCAGCACAGCCAAUGGUAAGGGAUGUUGGGAGUCUUGAGGGCAAAAGAUUCCCCAUCCAUGGCAUAGAUGCUUCUGGAUGCUUGAAGUAUGGAGCAAUGAUGUUUUGCAAUUUCUUCUAGAUCAGAAUUUUCGGACCACUGAAGAGCAGAAUGGUUGUACAGUGACAGGUUUAUCACCCAACAAGAACUACAGUUGUUUAUCAGAAUUAUUGUUUCAUGGCAAUAUUGCGAAAACUGGCAACAAACAGCUAACAACAGAUUAUGGAAAGCCAACACCAGUGAGAGAACUGCAAGUCGACCCAUUAAACCAAGAAAUCAGUGCUGUUAAGAUCAAGUGCAGGGAGCCAGAACAAAUAAAUGGUCCUGAAGAAAAAUAUUAUUUGUACUUCUUAGACGAGGAGACCAUGAUUAAAGCUAACGAAAGCUGUUACUUUGAAGUUAUAAACCUCUGUCAUCCGAUAACAUACCAGUUUAAGGUUAUUUUCUACAAUGGGAAAUAUUUCUCAGACCCUGUGAUCUCUGACCCAGUAAGAAGAAGAUAUGUUGUAAAUAAUUAUGGAAACCUAGUGACGUGUUUGGCAUUCCUCGUUACUGGGAAGUCCUUGGCUUUGCUCCUUCUUCUGCAUAAAAUCCACAUCCUUAUCAUAAAAAAUUCAAGGGAUCAAGAUGUACCUAUGCAGCCUCUUAACAGAGGUUGGUAUUCUCCUACUUCUGGCAAGGAUUAUGAAAACUGUGGGCCACAGAAUACAAUAAUGGAUGUGACUGAGCAGACAGAACCUCUAACAGGAAGCCAGAUGUGCACAUCAGUAAGAAGUAUUGGGCAUAGAGAGGAAAAUGAAUUAAACAUGUAAGUGAGAAAUGAUCACAGAUGUACCCUUACCAUUAUAAUAAAUAAAUAACCAGCAGUUAAUUGUACAGCAGUGAUGAAGGUUACCAAUGUUACCGAGUUUUUUCAUGUGUUGCAGGGGCUUGGACUAGAUGACCCUCGGCAUCCCUUACACCUCUACAAGUCUAUCAUUCUUUGCAUGAGGACAUAUUGGAGCUGCACAAAGAGAUAAACCACUUGAGGAUGCAAGCUGGAGUUGAAGAGCAAUAGUCGGUUUCAAAAUCUGCUGCCAUUUUUAUGUUAACACCCCCCCCCAUAUGAUGUACUACAGCACAGCUUUAAUAUUAUACAAAUUGUUGAUACUUUUCAUCAUCUCUUUCACAUGUGUGCAACGUUGUUUUUUAAAUGGUAAAUGUUGUUGUUUGGAAUGGCAUGUUAGCCAUUAUUAUUCUCAUUUUUCAUCUGUGGAACGUUGGAGGGUUUGUAAAUGUGCAUUCCGUCGUUGACCAAUUUUGCAAUGUUUAAUUUUGAUUAUGUUGCUUUGAAUGCAUGCUUUACUUUUGAGUAAUGUUUUAUUCUGGAUUGUUUUAUUGGAUGCUUCAAUGUCAGUUGCAAACUGUUUUGAGAUCAGUUGUAGAAACAGUAGCAAAGAGACGUGUAAAGUUCAUUGGCUUCACGCCUUAGGUUCCUGUUACAACGCCUUAUAAACUUUGCUAUCACAGGAAAUACUGCACGUUCCCCCCUCUAACAAACCCUGCUUCUGUAACUCUGUGUGAGACUUAAUUUGAGAGUCAGGUGUUUGAGCCCCACAUUGGGCAAAAGAUUCCUAUGUUGCAGAAGGUCGGAUUACAGGACCACUGUGAUCCCUUCUUUGCUUCUGUUAUUCUAUCCCCUUGGCUCCCUUGCCCCCUUCACCUCUCCAUUUGUUACUCUUCCCUCUUCUUUUCAUUCCAACAUCUCUUGUUAUCCCUGAUGUUGAAAUUGUUAUCCCCUUGGUGGGCAGGGAGAUCUGUCUGUCUGUCUAAGACCUUGCCAAAGUGCUACAAACACUUUUAUAACAAAAUAUAUUGAUGGUUAUGACAUUUAGCAUGAGGAUAUGCGCCAGGUCCAUGUACAGAAGCUUUGUUCUGAAUGAGAAUUUAUUCCGGGUUUGGGGUUAUUUUUCUUUGUAGGUAUUCUGUUUUCUGUCUGUUAUAAACAAAAAUUGCCCUUUUCCCUUAUGGGGUAUCCAAGAGCCCAUAUAGAGUCCUGUACAUAUUGGUAGGAGAGAAUAACAGAGGCCAACCAGAGAAUAUUGAGAAGCAAAGCAGCUAGUAAGCUUGAUCUUUAUUGAUCUGUUGCAACAGGGUGCUCCCCUCACCCGCAGGAGAGAGGAAGAACCCAGAAAAAAUGAUGUGCAAGGCCUUAUAAAGACUUUUGAAAUUGCCACCCUGUAGAUCAAGACCACCCCCAGAAACAUCAUACAUACAUAACAGAAGGGGUGUAACCUAAGACCACCCCUCAGAUACAUCAUACCUACAUCACAGAAAAGGCGGUCUUAAAACAGAAAUUUGAAUGUUGUUUUUCUCCUGUCAUUGUUUAUCUCCUAUCUGGCAGGUUACUUGAUUGGAUUUCCUGGGUAGUCUGGCCAGUCUUUUGUACUGAUAAAUACUUAGCUCCUGGGCCAGGUCACAGGCUCACACCCUAUUCAUAUCUUAAAUGUGCCCUUAAGACAGGAUUUGUGAGGAACGAGACAAUGGGGAGCUUUCCCACUUUGACCUUGCAGAGAAAACAUUUGCUCAGUUUAGGAAUCAAAAUGGUUCCAGGUUGGUCUUCCUGUGCUGAUCUAUGUACGUGCUUGGUUAGUACAUUUAUGAACAUUUCCAUAUAUCUAAGACCUAAAAAUCCUAUCACAACCCUUUACAACAUCCCUUCCAAUCUUUGCCCAAGGAUACAAACAGAGCCAGUGUCAGAAGUAAGCGCUGUAUUUUUCAUUUCAUUUCAUAUGAAAUUUAUCACGUUACACCCUAAAAGAAAUCUUUAUGAAGAUACAAUUUUGAUGGUACCUGACACCACUAAAAUUAUCUAAAAUGUACAAAAAUGUUUCAAGUAAAUAUUGGAGGUCUGGGGAAGUGGAAGGCUCCAUGCUACACAUGUGGUGGACCUGCAAGAAAAUUAAGGAAUUCUGGAAUGUCAUUUAUGAUGAACUUUAAAAAAUGACCAAAGUAUCAUUUCUAAAAAAACUGGAGGCUUUCCUCCUUGGGAUUCUGGGCCCAGACAUACCAAAAAAAUGCAAAAGAAAUAUUCUUGUAUGCGACAGUAGCAGCAAGAAUAUUGAUUGCAAUGAAUUGUAAGGGAGAGAAUAUCCCAACAAAGUUGGAGUGGCAAAGUAAGUUGUUAGAGUAUGCUGAAAUGGCAAAAAUGACAGAAAAGCUGUAAUACUGAGCAGACCUUUAUUGAAAAUGGGACAUGUACAGAAAAUACCUAGAGGUUUAUUGCAGUAAUGUGACGUCAGUGGCAGCAUUCGAAUGACUUCUGUGUUACAAUGAACAGAAAUAAGAGAAUAUAACAGUGAUGAAUAUUAAUAAAAAGAGAUAGAGAUUAAUAGUGUAUCAAAUAAGUAAAACGGUAAAUAUAUGGUGGGGUGGCGGGAAGUCAUAGGAAUUUUAACAAGAAUGUAUGGUGAUAUGAAUGAGCAAAUAUCGAUAUUCUUUUGUAUUUUCACUUGGAUUUUUCAUACAAUUGUUUGUUAUAAAAAGGUAAAGGGACCCCUAACUGUUAGGUCCAGUCGCGGACGACUCUGGGGUUGCGGCGCUCAUUUCGCUUUAUUGGCCGAGGGAGCCGGCGUACAGCUUCCGGGUCAUGGGGCCAGCAUGACUAAGCCAUUUCUGGCGAACCAGAGCAGCACACAGAAACGUCGUUUACCUUCCCGCUGAAGCGGUACCUAUUUAUCUACUUGCACUUUGACGUGCUUUCGAACCACUAGGUUGGCAGGAGCUGGGACUGAGCAACGGGAGCUCACCCCGUCGCAGGGAUUCGAAGCGCCGACCUUCUGAUCAGCAAGCCCUAGGCUCUGUGGUUUAGACCACAGCACCACCCGCAUCAUACUUUUCUUUAAUUUCAAUAAAGCAUAUGAAAUGGAAAAAAGAA